rnacentral:tRNA from 1 species
GGUCAGUUGGCCGAAGCGGUCUAAGGCGCCAGUUUAAGGCACUGGUCUGAAAGGGCGUUGGGUUCCGAAUCCCACACUGGCCA